rnacentral:lncRNA from 1 species
UCUCUUGUAUAGUCAGUCUUAACUCGUAAUCUUUUUGAUUCGAGUCAGUCAGUCUGAGAGGUAUUUUACAGUAUCAAUGUCCUAAAACCAACUGGUUUGGGAGUCGUUGGCCUAAAGCUCACUACAAGAGUCAAUUAGAAAGCUUAAGGGGUUAGGACAUUGCACCAACUGUAUAUGAAAAUAUUCUUUUCAAAAAAAGAAGAA